UACAGAGGGGGCUAGCGUUAAUCGGAAUUACUGGGCGUAAAGCGUGCGCAGGCGGCGCGUUAAGACAGGUGUGAAAGCCCCGAGCUUAACUUGGGAAUUGCGCUUGUGACUGGCGUGCUGGAGUGUGGCAGAGGGAGGUGGAAUUCCACGUGUAGCAGUGAAAUGCGUAGAGAUGUGGAGGAACACCGAUGGCGAAGGCAGCCUCCUGGGCCAGCACUGACGCUCAUGCACGAAAGCGUGGGGAGCAAACAGG
rnacentral:rRNA from 1 species